CGAGGCAAAACGGUGGCUUGAAGACUUGGAAGUCCGGCCCUUCCUCACUCACCUGCUGGGCGGGAAGGCCCGCCAGGCGGAGCUCGGGACCCCUCACGGUCUGCGCCUCCAUCUCGGCACCACUGCCAGGCCCGCCGCCGCUCCCCCUACGAUUUGAAAAGCCCGCCGCUCGCUUGAGCCGCGGAGGACGCCAACCGCCGGCCCGGCCGUACCAAGUCCGGCCGCAGGGGGAGGGGCGCAGGGGGCCUCCAGCCUGAGGGCGCACGCGCAGUGGCAGCGCCCGGGCCUCCCGCACAGAAGCGCGCCGAGACCCGAGCCCUCAGUGCGGCGGCGAAUGUUUCUUUGUAAUUCCAGAUACCCCCACCGCAAACACCUACCUGAAAAAGUUGUUCCGUGUCCCAACAAGGUCACCAUUGUUCAUCCUUAGACAAAGAUGGAAUUUUUCAGAAAAUAUAACAAAGAGCCAUGGAGAAUAAAUGGACUGGAAAGCCCCUUGUAAGUCUAAUCAAAGAAACUUUUCUCUCCCUUUGGGAUAGAGGAUCCUUAAAAUAUCUGCCCCCUGGAAUUUCAUACCUGCUAGAGACAACAGUGCUAUGUCUCCCAUACUCCUCUUUUCUAAAUAGGAAUAGUUAGUGAAGUUACCCUGAACAUGUUUCACCAGUGUGUACUAGAUAUUCGGCAAGCAAAUGACUUGCCUUUUUGGUUCAUAGGUCUUUUGGUUCAAGAGGAGCCACACCCAGACAUGAAGAACAUUUUUCCCUGAUGUAGAGACUAUACUGUGUCAUCCAUAGACCCUGCUCAUUGUGCUUGUUGUCUUCACUAAAUGAAACUUGUGAGUUUUAUCCUUCAGGGACAGGUGAGUAUAUAUUGCCUAUGGAAGGAGAAUGAAUUGAAUAUUCGGAGCCUUGAAGGACUGACUAUUGUAAUCAGUGACAUUCACGAAAUAUCUCUGGUUUGGUGCACUGCCUCAUAGGUUUGUCCAUUUGCAGUUAGUCACAACUGUGAGUCAUGCUUUGACCAAUGAACCAUGAACAGAAGUGUUUCUCCCGCAACUUUAAGAGCAAGCAUGUGAUUUGCUAGAAUUUUCUCUCGGUGUCCCAGUGACAGGCAACUUUCCAGAUAGUGGAUGGUACAAUAUCCUGGGUUGCAGAGAGAGACAGAAGUAUAGACAGCCCCAGAAAUCUUGUGAUAGACAUGUAUUAAGAGCAAGAAAUAGGAGAAGCCAAGAUGGCGGAACAGCAUGGAAGUUUUUUGUGUGUCUCAUGGCCAUGAAAUACAGCCAGACCAACACUAACCCGUCCUACACCCCUAGAAAACUGAUUGGAAGAUUAACACAACAAUCUGCACAACCUGAACCACAGAAUUCAGAAGAAAGAGAAAAAUUCAUUUUUAUUUUCAAUUUUUAUUAAAAACAUUUUUCUUUAAUUUAUAUUACUGUAUUUUUCUUUUGUGUAAAUUUUUUCAAAUUCUAUUUUACUUCCAUCAUUUUAUUUUAGUCUACUUCAGUGUAUUCACCUUUUCAAAUUUUCAAACGAUUUCCUUGUUUUCUUUUUUCCUCUUUUUCUUGAAUGCAGAAAGUGAAAAACUUCAUUUACUUUCAAUUUCUAUUAAAAAUAUUUUUCUUUAAUUUUUUUACUAUAUUUUUUUUGCUUUUAUGUAAUUCUUUUCAAAUUCUCCUUAACUUCCAUCAUUUUAUUUUAGUCUACUACAGUGUAUUCACUUUUUCAAAUUUUCAAACGAUUCCUUUUUUCUUUUUUCUUUUUUUACUUCUUUUCUUUUGUUUGAAUGCAGAAAGAAAAAAUUCAUUUUAAUUUUUAAUUUUUAUUAAAAAUAUUUUUCUUUAAUUCUUUCUACUAUAUUCUUUACUUUUGUGUAACUUUUUUCGAAUUCUAUCUUGCUCCCAUCAUCUCAUUUUAGUCUACU